rnacentral:tRNA from 1 species
GUCCCUGUCGAUUAGUGGUCAAAUCAUCUUGUUGUGGCCGAGAAGCUGGAAGUUCGAAUCCUCCCUGGGACA